CAGGCACUCACUUUCCACAAUACCAGGCCGACAAUAUCCAAAUAACGGUAGAUUUAAGUAAGCAACUGACAGCGAUCUGUCAAUUCUGUACAGUCUUAAGUUUGAAGUUGAAUAAAGUGGUUUGAUUUAAAAAAAGUAAAAAAACUUAAGUUGACACCUAUACUUUUUAGUCGCGCGCUUACAGCAACUCAAUUGUUCGACUUUCAUUUAUUUGUUACAUCAAAUUUUACAGCUGGAAUCGGAAUAUUUACUAUAAAUCGUAUUUUUCACGUAUAUUUGAUGCUUGUAGCUUAGCUUAUAACUGUAAUUAGUACUUAUUACUUGCCUUGAUUGUAGAAAUAUGUCUCAAGUUAAAGCACGAUAAACGACGAGAUGUCCUGUCUCUGGUAUGCCGGAGAAGUUAUAUGUUUCUCACUUACCUACGCAUAAUGAUCUGAUGAAAUGUUAUCUGUUCAUAAAACAUGAAUUGAAGCCCGAUAAAACAACAAUGGAGCCAACAAUUCUUAAAAUAUCUGAAAGAUCAGGGGGUGAAGUUCUAAAAAUAUGGCGAAAAUCUUCACUGCCAACUGUUAGUGUAAAAAGAAUUUUACAAUUGAUUCGUUCCUACCACGACAUAUACAGGAGCUUAAUGAAACCAUAUCAAGGCCAUCAAACCAACAUUAAAUACCAAGAAAAUAUUAGAACAUUUAUAACAGAGUCCCAUAGAUUAUUUAGGCGGGUAUUGUCACUUGCGAAGCGAAUGAAAAUUUUGGCGAGUUUCGCCGUGGCGAAUUGUAAGUUACGAAUCUGUAACGAAUUCGCCAGAAAAUGGCGAACGAGUGGCGAAAAUAAAUUUCUGGUAUUGCCGCUGGCGAAAAAACGGCAUUCGCUUCGACAUUACUGUCAAAAUUUAACGAAUGCAUUUUUUAUUCGCUAUUUGAAAUGGAAAGGACAACAAAACGUACAACAACGCAGCAAUUCCAAAAAUUGGUUGCGUUAAUGGAAAAUAAUCCGGACGUCGCCAGAGGAAUGGGGAAUUUUGGAGCGACAAAGAAAAGCAGGGCAGAGCAAUGGGACCUGUUCGCUGCCGAACUCAAUGCCAUUGGUCUACCAUUGCGAAACGGGCGCGAGUGAAAUAAGGUUUGGUUGGAUUAUAAACAGAAACUAAAAAAAAAAAUAGCGACAAACCGACGCGAAACUGUUGCCACAGGAGGAGGACCUUAUGCUCAGCAAAGUUUAUCUCCAUUGGAGCAAAGUGUGGAUGAGCUUCUUCACCUUCAGGCGGCUGUACAUCCUACAGGCUUGGCAUAUGGCUCUAAUGAAAUAGAAAGUGCGGUAAAUUGUAGAGAAAUUCAGCCAGAAGAGCGCACGACCGAGGAAACACAACGAGCCAUGGAUUUGGCUUCGCAAUCCUCAAGCAGCCGUCCUAGAAUGACAGUAGAGGAACGUGAAGUAAUUCGGAUGAAAGCGUUGGAAAAGCAAGCCGAAGUCCAAGACAAUCUUUCCAACAAAAUGGCAAGAAUGGAAAAAAAAAUUUAUGAAAUUGCAAGGUAUACAAGAAAAAUAUAUGAAUUGAAACAGGAAGAAAUUAAAUUAAUGAAAAUUAAAGAAGAAAGGAAGAAGGAAGAAAAUUUAGAGAAAAAAAAGACAUAGAGAAAAGAUGGAAAUGAAACUACAAAUUUUAAAAUUAAAAAUGCAAAAAAAAUAGGGUAAAUAGGGUGCUUGUAAAUAGAUUGAAUUUAGUUUAUAGUUUAUUUCA